GUGCUAUAAUGCAAGUCGAGCGGACCGACGGGAGCUUGCUCCCUUAGGUCAGCGGCGGACGGGUGAGUAACACGUGGGUAACCUGCCUGUAAGACUGGGAUAACUCCGGGAAACCGGGGCUAAUACCGGAUGCUUGAUUGAACCGCAUGGUUCCAUCCUUAAAGGGGGCUUUUAACUACCCCUUUCCGAUGGACCCGCGGCGCAUUAACUAAUUGGGGAGGUAACGGCUCCCCCAGGGGACCAAGCCUAACCCAACUGAAAGGGUGAUCGGCCCCCCUGGGACUGAAACCCGGCCCAAACUCCUACGGGAGGCAGCAGUAAGGAAUCUUCCGCAAUGGACGAAAGUCUGACGGAACAACCCCCCGUGAGUGAUGAAGGUUUUCCGAACCUAAAACUCUGGUGGUAGGGAGACAGUACCGUUCGAAUAGGGCGGUACCUUGACGGUACCUAACCAGAAAGCACGGCUAACUACGUGCCAGCAGCCGCGGUAAUACGUAGGUGGCAAGCGUUGUCCGGAAUUAUUGGGCGUAAAGCGCGCGCAGGCGGUUUCUUAAGUCUGAUGUGAAAGCCCCCGGCUCAACCGGGGAGGGUCAUUGGAAACUGGGGAACUUGAGUGCAGAAGAGGAGAGUGGAAUUCCACGUGUAGCGGUGAAAUGCGUAGAGAUGUGGAGGAACACCAGUGGCGAAGGCGACUCUCUGGUCUGUAACUGACGCUGAGGCGCGAAAGCGUGGGGAGCGAACAGGAUUAGAUACCCUGGUAGUCCACGCCGUAAACGAUGAGUGCUAAGUGUUAGAGGGUUUCCGCCCUUUAGUGCUGC
rnacentral:rRNA from 2 species